UUACGGUCAUAUCACGUUGAAUCACCGGUUCUCGUUCGAACCCCGAAGUUAAGCAACAUCGAUCCUAGUCAGUAUCUAAAUGGGUGACCGCUUUAGAAUGCCAAGAACUGUAAG